UAACGUGUAACGUGUAACGUGUUCUGUUUUUAUUCCAUUUCAUCAGGACUCAUCUCCAGGAUCAGAAGUCUGAAACAACAGGCUUUCAGUCAGUCAGUCAGUGGAUUCAUCAAUAAACUGAUCAGUCAGUUAACAGAAUACACCGAACAACCAUCAACCAACAUACAAACUCCAGGACUCUUUGAUGAAUCAAACCUCUGGAUGGAGACUGAAGUUUCGACUGAUAACAUGAGAGACAACAGAGUCCUUCCUGCGAAGAGUCACGCCUGAAGACGAGGUCCUCAUUUCAGAGCAGAGACACAACAGCUAAUCUUAUCUGGACGGGUGGAUUCGACAUGGACAGUAGAAUCCAGUAGAGUCUGGGCAGGAAAGUUCUGGUCAUUCAAGAUCUCAGUUUGGACUUCAGACGGAGUGAUCCAAUACAGAGAAGAGGAGCUGAAGGAGACACGAGAGGA